CAGAGAUAAUUUCUGGACUUUUUCCUUUUUUAUUUAUUUCCAAAAAUUCUAUUUUCUGUAAAAUAUAUCUUUGCAUAUCUUCUAAGUUUUCUAUUCUUUUUCUUAAUAUUUUUAUUUCUGAUAAUUCAAUUUGAACUAAAUCAUUCUGAUUUUCUUCUUCAGAUUCUAUUAAUUCUUUUUGUAUUAAGCAUUGUUUACAUGCUUCUAAAAAACAAUCUUUACAUUUAACUCUUAAUUUUUUACUAGGAUACCAUUUACAUAAAAAACAUGGUAUGCUAUCUGAACCUGUUUCUUUUACCCAUUUAUGUUUACAUUCUAAUUCUAUAUCCAUAAAUUCUAAUUCUUCAUCUGAAUCUGAUAAAUUUUUUAUAUUUGAAAAUUCUUGUAUAAAAUUUUCAUAAUCUGAUUGUUCUUCUAUAUUACAAUUAUUAUUAUAAUCUUCUAUUGAAAUAAUACUAUAAACUGAUUCUUUAUCUGAAAUAUAUUCAUCAAUUUCUAAUAAAUCUUCAUU
rnacentral:lncRNA from 1 species